rnacentral:rRNA from 1 species
AUAUUCUGUAGCAAGGUUAACCGAAUAGGGGAGCCGGAGGGAAACCGAGUCUUAAUUGGGCGUUAAGUUGCAGGGUAUAGACCCGAAACCCGGUGAUCUAGCCAUGGGCAGGUUGAAGGUUGGGUAACACUAACUGGAGGACCGAACCGACUAAUGUUGAAAAAUUAGCGGAUGACCUGUGGCUGGGGGUGAAAGGCCAAUCAAACCGGGAGAUAGCUGGUUCUCCCCGAAAGCUAUUUAGGUAGCGCCUCGUGAAUUCAUCUCCGGGGGUAGAGCACUGUUUCGGCUAGGGGGCCAUCCCGGCUUACCAACCCGAUGCAAACUGCGAAUACCGGAGAAUGUUAUCACGGGAGACACACGGCGGGUGCUAACGUCCGUCGUGAAGAGGGAAACAACCCAGACCGCCAGCUAAGGUCCCAAAGUCAUGGUUAAGUGGGAAACGAUGUGGGAAGGCCCAGACAGCCAGGAUGUUGGCUUAGAAGCAGCCAUCAUUUAAAGAAAGCGUAAUAGCUCACUGGUCGAGUCGGCCUGCGCGGAAGAUGUAACGGGGCUAAACCAUGCACCGAAGCUGCGGCAGCGACACUGUGUGUUGUUGGGUAGGGGAGCGUUCUGUAAGCCUGCGAAGGUGGCCUGUGAGGGUUGCUGGAGGUAUCAGAAGUGCGAAUGCUGACAUAAGUAACGAUAAAGCGGGUGAAAAGCCCGCUCGCCGGAAGACCAAGGGUUCCUGUCCAACGUUAAUCGGGGCAGGGUGAGUCGACCCCUAAGGCGAGGCCGAAAGGCGUAGUCGAUGGGAAACGGGUUAAUAUUCCCGUACUUGGUGUUACUGCGAAGGGGGGACGGAGAAGGCUAUGUUGGCCGGGCGACGGUUGUCCCGGUUUAAGCGUGUAGGUGUGUGUUCCAGGUAAAUCCGGUUCACUUUAACACUGAGGCGUGACGACGAGGCACUACGGUGCUGAAGCAACAAAUGCCCUGCUUCCAGGAAAAGCCUCUAAGCAUCAGGUAACAUCAAAUCGUACCCCAAACCGACACAGGUGGUCAGGUAGAGAAUACCAAGGCGCUUGAGAGAACUCGGGUGAAGGAACUAGGCAAAAUGGUGCCGUAACUUCGGGAGAAGGCACGCUGACACGUAGGUGAAGUGAUUUACUCAUGGAGCUGAAGUCAGUCGAAGAUACCAGCUGGCUGCAACUGUUUAUUAAAAACACAGCACUGUGCAAACACGAAAGUGGACGUAUACGGUGUGACGCCUGCCCGGUGCCGGAAGGUUAAUUGAUGGGGUCAGCGCAAGCGAAGCUCCUGAUCGAAGCCCCGGUAAACGGCGGCCGUAACUAUAACGGUCCUAAGGUAGCGAAAUUCCUUGUCGGGUAAGUUCCGACCUGCACGAAUGGCGUAAUGAUGGCCAGGCUGUCUCCACCCGAGACUCAGUGAAAUUGAACUCGCUGUGAAGAUGCAGUGUACCCGCGGCAAGACGGAAAGACCCCGUGAACCUUUACUAUAGCUUGACACUGAACAUUGAGCCUUGAUGUGUAGGAUAGGUGGGAGGCUUUGAAGUGUGGACGCCAGUCUGCAUGGAGCCGACCUUGAAAUACCACCCUUUAAUGUUUGAUGUUCUAACGUGGACCCGUUACCCGGGUUGCGGACAGUGUCUGGUGGGUAGUUUGACUGGGGCGGUCUCCUCCUAAAGAGUAACGGAGGAGCACGAAGGUUGGCUAAUCCUGGUCGGACAUCAGGAGGUUAGUGCAAUGGCAUAAGCCAGCUUGACUGCGAGCGUGACGGCGCGAGCAGGUGCGAAAGCAGGUCAUAGUGAUCCGGUGGUUCUGAAUGGAAGGGCCAUCGCUCAACGGAUAAAAGGUACUCCGGGGAUAACAGGCUGAUACCGCCCAAGAGUUCAUAUCGACGGCGGUGUUUGGCACCUCGAUGUCGGCUCAUCACAUCCUGGGGCUGAAGUAGGUCCCAAGGGUAUGGCUGUUCGCCAUUUAAAGUGGUACGCGAGCUGGGUUUAGAACGUCGUGAGACAGUUCGGUCCCUAUCUGCCGUGGGCGCUGGAGAACUGAGGGGGGCUGCUCCUAGUACGAGAGGACCGGAGUGGACGCAUCACUGGUGUUCGGGUUGUCAUGCCAAUGGCACUGCCCGGUAGCUAAAUGCGGAAGAGAUAAGUGCUGAAAGCAUCUAAGCACGAAACUUGCCCCGAG